AGAGUGAACGCUGGCGGUAGGCCUAACACAUGCAAGUCGAACAAGACCUUCGGGUCUAGUGGCGCACGGGUGCGUAACGCGUGGGAAUCUACCCUUGGGUUCGGAAUAACAGUUGGAAACGACUGCUAAUACCGGAUGAUGACGUAAGUCCAAAGAUUUAUCGCCCAGGGAUGAGCCCGCGUAGGAUUAGCUAGUUGGUGGGGUAAAGGCUCACCAAGGCGACGAUCCUUAGCUGGUCUGAGAGGAUGAUCAGCCACACUGGGACUGAGACACGGCCCAGACUCCUACGGGAGGCAGCAGUGGGGAAUAUUGGACAAUGGGCGAAAGCCUGAUCCAGCAAUGCCGCGUGAGUGAUGAAGGCCUUAGGGUUGUAAAGCUCUUUUACCCGGGAAGAUAAUGACUGUACCGGAGAAUAAGCUCGGCUAACUCCGUGCCAGCAGCCGC
rnacentral:rRNA from 1 species